UACGUAGGGACCAAGCGUUGUCCGGAAUCAUUGGGCGUAAAGAGCUCGUAGGCGGCUUGUCACGUCGGAUGUGAAAGCCCGGGGCUUAACCCCGGGUCUGCAUUCGAUACGGGCAGGCUAGAGUUCGGUAGGGGAGAUCGGAAUUCCUGGUGUAGCGGUGAAAUGACGCAGAUAUCAGGAGGAACACCGGUGGCGAAGGCGGAUUCUGACCAGUUCGUCGACACUGAGGAGCGAAGCAGGGAGACGAACAGGAGUAGAAACCCUGGUUAGUACCCAG
rnacentral:rRNA from 1 species